rnacentral:rRNA from 1 species
UACGAAGGGGGGCGAGCGUUGUUCGGAUUUACUGGGCGUAAAGGGCGCGCAGGCGGUUCUGUUUGUCGAGUGUGAAAGCCCCGGGCUCAACCUGGGAACUGCGCUCGAAACGGCGGAACUAGAGUUCGGGAGAGGAGAGUGGAAUUCCCAGUGUAGAGGUGAAAUUCGUAGAUAUUUGGGAAGAACACCGGUGGCGAAGGCGGCUCUCUGGACCGAUACUGACGCUGAGGCGCGAAGCGUGGGAGCAACAGG